CAGCCGAUUUAUUUUGCAUAUUCCCAGCGAGGAAAGAGACAAUGCAAUCCGAGUGUGUUUUCAGAUUGAACUUGCCCAUUGGUUUUACUUGGAUUUCUACAUGCAGAACACACCAGGAUUACCUCAGUGUGGGAUAAGAGACUUUGCUAAAGCUGUCUUCAGUCAUUGUCCGUUUUUGCUGCCUGAAGGUGAAGAUGUGGAAAAAGUUUUGGAUGAAUGGAAGGAAUAUAAAAUGGGAGUACCAACAUAUGGUGCAAUUAUUCUUGAUGAGACACUUGAAAAUGUACUACUGGUUCAGGGGUACCUAGCAAAAUCAGGCUGGGGAUUUCCAAAAGGAAAAGUAAAUAAAGAAGAAGCUCCUCAUGAUUGUGCUGCUAGAGAGGUCUUUGAAGAAACUGGUUUUGACAUCAAAGACUAUAUUUGUAAGGAUGAUUACAUUGAACUUCGAAUCAAUGACCAGCUUGCUCGUUUGUACAUCAUUCCAGGAAUUCCAAAAGACACAAAAUUUAACCCA
rnacentral:sRNA from 1 species